UACGUAGGGGGCUAGCGUUGUCCGGAAUCAUUGGGCGUAAAGCGCGUGUAGGCGGUCCGGUAAGUCCGCUGUGAAAGUCGAGGGCUCAACCCUCGAAUGCCGGUGGAUACUGUCGGGCUUGAGUACGGGAGAGGCGAGUGGAAUUCCUGGUGUAGCGGUGAAAUGCGCAGAUAUCAGGAGGAACACCGAUUGCGAAGGCAGCUCGCUGGAACGUUACUGACGCUGAGACGCGAAAGCGUGGGGGAGCAAAACAGG
rnacentral:rRNA from 1 species